UACAUUAAGGACCCAGAGAGAGCUCCCAAGGGGUUUGAUUCUUUGAGUGACAAACUGAGAUAAAACCAAAGGCAGGAAAACUGCAAGGGGGGCCCUGUAAGUUCUGAAAAGAUAAACUCGGAGGAUCUCCCGGAGGGCUUGUUGUAAGUCAUGGGUCUUGGCUCCCGCAGUGCUUGACCUUCGUAGCUAGGGAAACCGGGAAGGAGAGCUAUAACAUAUGCUAGCCCGGAGGAGCCUGAGGAAAGCUGCAGCAAGACAGAUGUGAAAGGACUGUUUUUGGUUUUGGCUUGAGAUGCUGGCUACUUCUCCAGUACUAUGCCUGCCUGCAUGCUACUGUGCUCCUAGACAUGAUAAUGGACGAACCUCCAAAAAUCUUUCCAAAUAGGAAGAAGUUGGACUGGACCAAGUUUUUAUUACAUCUCCAACCUUACCCACCCGGCUACCGUGAACGCAAUGAGAAUGCGCCACAGGCUUACUUCGUGAUGCGAAGGCUGGAUCCAACCACUGACAGCGGCAGAACUUGAGUCUUUGAUGUUUUCUCCCCUUCUCUGUCUCUUUCCCCAUCACUGGGACUUCAGUGGCUUCAACAUCUAUGUAGUUCAAGUCUUGGCUUCCUUUAGCCAAAGGGUUCCCUAUUCCCAGGUAGAAGGCAAUGUCUCCACUCUAAGCUAACCUGAUUGAUAAAGGCAUACUCAUUCCUGGCAGCUGGAGGUUGCUCAGCCCCUUUUGAAGGGAUAUAGUUAGUCAUGUCGGGAAGGAUUUGAUGACCCUACAAUGACUGUUUUCUCGGGUCUUAAGAAAUGUUUUCAUACACGUUAUCUGAUGUCAAACUAAGGAUAUCUUUAUGGACGCUGGUGUCAGUUAGGAAGUGAUUGCUUAGAAUGUGUAAGUCCUUGGCUUCGGUUUAAGUACUUAGAAAUAACACGCGCAGGGGUUGGGGAUUUAGCUCAGUGGUAGAGCGCUUGCCUAGGAAGCACAAGGCCCUGGGUUCAAUCCCCAGCUCCGAAAAAAAGAACCAAAAAAAAAAAAAAAAAAAAAAAAAAUAACACGCGCUCCUUAUAAUUAUUUUAUUCUUCUCUGUCAAGUGAGUACAUUAAAGCAUUAAAGCUCUGGUUGUUUAAAUGA